GCUGUUAGCUCUGUUUACAGAGGAGAAACCACAGCCUUGGAGGAGUUGUCGACUGCUGCUCGGUUAUGAAGCCAGUGGGUGGCAAAAGCCCCCUGUUCACGCCCAGGCCUGGCACCUGCAAAGGCCAGACAGCGGUGUCAACACUGCUGGCAGAUUUAAAAUCACCAUCGCAGUACUGAAGCUGGGUCAGGGAGCUGAGCCACACUCUGAGGAAGCCUGACUCCCACUAUGGACUGGUGGCAGCUUCUCCAAAGUCUGGGUUCAGUUCCCAGAAGGAGGUGGCUUCUGAAGAGCACAUUUGGAUGCUGGAGAGUGAUAGCGGGAGGGGCACGCGACAGGAAGGAAGCCCCUUGACAGAGGGCUGGCGGAUUAACGCAGCACACAGGGACGAGGAGAGAAGUUGAGGCUGGACUGCAGGGACUAGUACCUCUUGAUUUGCCCGAGGUUCUCUGGCACCUGAAGCACAGCCUGCCCCUCAACAGUCACCAAGGCAGUGUCUUAUCGGGGAUGAUAACGCUUCCUGUGGGGUUCAUCCUGCACAGCAUACAAAAUCUUCCACUUCACUAUCACGCCAUCAUGAGAUCUGGAUAGGGUGGGAAUUAGCCUCCCCACCCCAAACCCCCGCCUCAUUUUAAAAUAAGAAAACUGGCCGAGCACAGUGGCUCACACCUGUAAUCCCAGCACUUUGGGAGGCCGAGGCGGGUUGUUCACUUGAGGUCAGGAGUUCAAGACUAGCCUAGCCAACAUGGUGAAACCCAUCUCUACUAAAAAUACAAAAAUUAGCUGGGCAUGUUGGUGCAUCUGUAAUCCCAGCUACUCAGGAGGCUGAGACAUGAGAAUCAUUUGAACCUGGGAGGCGGAGGUUGCAGUGAGCCAGGAUCGCGCCACUGCACUCCAGCCUGGGCAACAGAGCCAGACUCUGUUUCAAAAAAAAUAAAAUAUGCUGGGUGUGGUGGCUCACGCCUGUAAUCCUAGCACCUUGGGAGGCUGAGGCGGGCAAAUCAUUUGAGGUCAGAAGUUCGAGACCAGCCUGGGCAACAUGGCGAAGCUCCAUCUCUACUAAAAAUGCAGAAAUUAGCCAGCCAUGGUGGCGCGUGCCAGUAAUCCCCAGCUACUCAGGAGGCUGAGGCAGGAGAAUCGCUUGAACCCGGGAGAUGGAGGUUGCAGUGAGCCAAGAUCAUGCCAUUGCACUCCAGCCUGGGUGACAAGAGCAAAACUCUGUCUCAAAAAAAAAGUAAAAUAAAAUAAGAAAACCAAGGUUCAAAGAGGUCGUGUGACUCAUAAACACCCUGCUAACGAAGUAAGGGAUUCCAGACUCAAACGCAGGUCUGUGUCAUACAAAGCCCAUGCUCCUUCUUUGCCUUAUCCUUUCAUUUUAGUUUUUAUUUUUCAUCAAAGUUAUACAUGCACAUAAAUGGACAACUUGUUCUGCAAGAUUUUUUAUGAAAAUGGCAGUUCCUCGUCCCCAUUUCCCUCUCCUGAAAGUAACAACUUUCACCACUUUAUUUUUUAUUAUUUAUUUUACUUUUUUUUGAGAUGGGGUCUUGCUGUGUCACCCAGGCUGGAGUGCAGUGGCACAAUCACAGCUCACUGUAGCCUCGACUUCCUGGACCCAAGUGAUCCUCUCACCUCAGCUUCCUGAGUAGCUGUGACUACCGGUGCAUGUCACCACACCUGGCUAAUUUUUGUAUUUUGAGGGAGAUUUGGGGUUUUGCCAUGUUGCCCAGGUUCGUCUCAAACUCCUAGGCUCAAGUGAUCUGCCCGCUUCGAGGCUGCAGUGAGCUAUGAUCAUGCCACUGCAUGCCAGCCUGGGCAACAGAGAAAGCCCUUGUCUC